CAGCAGAUGCUGCUGAGGAGUUCCUGCACUGAUCAGGAUUCUCCUCAGCGUUACAGCAGGGCGCACCACAGCUUCAGCAGCUGAUAGAUCAAUCACUUCCGACAAUAUGGCUACAGGUAGAUCUUUGCGAAAUAAAAUGGCUACACCCCUAGCUUUUCUUCGAAAGGGGGCGGAGAUGCAUGACCCAAUCCAAGCCGCCUUCAAAGUAUUUUCUGCAUUAGCUGUCCAGUGUGUUUCCUGCAGAAACACCACGUCCGGGUGAAAACGUCUGAGACUCCAGUGAUCUACACCUGGCUAUAUGAACGAGAUUAGUAAUAUGUGGUUAUUUUGAAAGGCUGAAAAGUUUAAAGGAUGAUCCAAGACAACUGAAAAUUUAUAGUCAAAUCCACCCAGUGAGGGGACAAGAAAAGGAAACCAGUUAUAACUGGGGUGCACACAACCCAACUAAUAUUUACAAUAAGUGCUUAAUUGAGGAUUUAAUGAAACUCCCCUAGAUUAAUAUUGUCCAAUAAAGGCUUACAUGCCACAUAUAUUAAAUAGUAUAGAUUAGAAAAAAAGUUUUUAGUACAUUUUUGUUAUAUAGGGACUGAAAAUGUCCUUUAUUGUUUGACGAGUGAAGUAUUAAAAUCAGAAGAUUCUGAAAGAAAAUAAAA